UACGAAGGGGGCUAGCGUUGCUCGGAAUGACUGGGCGUAAAGGGCGCGUAGGCGGUUUGUACAGUCAGGCGUGAAAGCCCCGGGCUCAACCUGGGAACCGCGCUUGAGACUGGCAUGCUCGAGUUCGGGAGAGGAUGGUGGAAUUCCCAGUGUAGAGGUGAAAUUCGUAGAUAUUGGGAAGAACACCGAUGGCGAAGGCAGCCAUCUGGACCGACACUGACGCUGAGGCGCGAAAGCGUGGGGAGCAAACAGG
rnacentral:rRNA from 1 species